GAACGCAGAAGCUGAUAUGAUUUUAUCUUUUCCAGAGUGGACAGCUGGCACCAUUGAGGUUUCUCCUGAAACGCGUGCGAAAUGUUGAUUGAAGACUGUGGCUUAGUUCUCGAUCGUAGUCC
rnacentral:lncRNA from 1 species